rnacentral:rRNA from 1 species
GGUACUCGAGUGGCGAACGGGUGAGUAACACGUGGGUGAUCUGCCCUGCACUUCGGGAUAAGCCUGGGAAACUGGGUCUAAUACCGGAUAGGACCACAUUUUGGAUGGUGUGGUGGAAAGUUUUUCGGUGUGGGAUGAGCUCGCGGCCUAUCAGCUUGUUGGUGGGGUAAUGGCCUACCAAGGCGUCGACGGGUAGCCGGCCUGAGAGGGUGUACGGCCACAUUGGGACUGAGAUACGGCCCAG